GUUAUAUGGUCAAGUGAAGAAGCGCAUACGGUGGAUGCCUUGGCAGUCAGAGGCGAUGAA
rnacentral:rRNA from 1 species